GACGAACGCUGGCGGCGUGCUUAACACAUGCAAGUCGAACGGAAAGGCCCUGCUUUUGUGGGGUGCUCGAGUGGCGAACGGGUGAGUAACACGUGAGUAACCUGCCCUUGACUUUGGGAUAACUUCAGGAAACUGGGGCUAAUACCGGAUAGGAGCUCCUGCUGCAUGGUGGGGGUUGGAAAGUUUCGGCGGUUGGGGAUGGACUCGCGGCUUAUCAGCUUGUUGGUGGGGUAGUGGCUUACCAAGGCUUUGACGGGUAGCCGGCCUGAGAGGGUGACCGGCCACAUUGGGACUGAGAUACGGCCCAGACGCAUACGGGAGGCAGCAGUGGGGACUAUUGCACAAUGGGCGGAAGCCUGAUGCAGCAACGCCGCGUGCGGGAUGACGGCCUUCGGGUGUAAACCGCUUUCGCCUGUGACGAAGCGUGAGUGACGGUAAUGGGUAAAGAAGCACCGGCUAACUACGUG
rnacentral:rRNA from 1 species